rnacentral:tRNA from 2 species
UGGGGAUUGGUGUAAUUGGCAACACAGCGGAUUCUGGUUCCGUCGUUCUAGGUUCGAGUCCUAGAUCCCCAG